CAGUAGCCGCGGGAAUACGUAGGGUGCAAGCGUUAAUCGGAAUUACUGGGCGUAAAGCGUGCGCAGGCGGUUAUAUAAGACAGAUGUGAAAUCCCCGGGCUCAACCUGGGAACUGCAUUUGUGACUGUAUAGCUAGAGUACGGCAGAGGGGGAUGGAAUUCCGCGUGUAGCAGUGAAAUGCGUAGAUAUGCGGAGGAACACCGAUGGCGAAGGCAAUCCCCUGGGCCCUGUACUGACGCUCAUGCACGAAAGCGUGGGGAGCAAACAGGAUUAGAUACCCGCGUAGUCCCUGUCUCUUAUU
rnacentral:rRNA from 1 species